rnacentral:tRNA from 1 species
GGGCCGGUGGUCUAGCUUGGUAUAGGCAUGAAGCGCUGACGAUUCGCGGUUCGGGUCCGUGAGAUCUGGGGUUCAAAUCCCCAUCGGCCCACCA